UACAGAGGGUGCAAGCGUUGUUCGGAAUUAUUGGGCGUAAAGCGCGUGUAGGCGGCUUUGCAAGUCGGGUGUGAAAGCCCUCAGCUCAACUGAGGAAGUGCGCCCGAAACUGCAGAGCUUGAGUACCGGAGAGGAUGGCGGAAUUCCCCAAGUAGAGGUGAAAUUCGUAGAUAUCGGGAGGAACACCGGUGGCGAAGGCGACCCGCUGGCCAGCGACUGACGCUGAGACGCGAAAGCGUGGGGAGCAACAGG
rnacentral:rRNA from 1 species